GAUGAACGCUAGCGGCAGGCCUAACACAUGCAAGUCGAGGGGUAGAGUUAGCUUUGCUAACUUGAGACCGGCGCACCGGGUGCGUAACGCGUAUGCAAUCUACCUUUACUGAGGGAAUAGCCCAGAGAAAUUUGGAUUAAUACCUCAUAGUAUUAUUGAGUGGCAUCAUUUGAUAAUUAAAGUUCCAACGGUAAAAGAUGAGCAUGCGUCCCAUUAGUUAGUUGGUAAGGUAACGGCUUACCAAGACUAUGAUGGGUAGGGGUCCUGAGAGGGAGAUCCCCCACACUGGUACUGAGACACGGACCAGACUCCUACGGGAGGCAGCAGUGAGGAAUAUUGGACAAUGGGCGCAAGCCUGAUCCAGCCAUGCCGCGUGCAGGAAGACGGUCCUAUGGAUUGUAAACUGCUUUUAUACAGGAAGAAACACUCCCUCGUGAGGGAGCUUGACGGUACUGUAGGAAUAAGGAUCGGCUAACUCCGUGCCAGCAGCCGCGGUAAUAC
rnacentral:rRNA from 1 species